rnacentral:misc_RNA from 1 species
UCGAGUUUACAACUCCUAAACCCAUUGUGAACAUACCUAUCUUGGCCUCGGCUGGAAGCCCGGUCCUGCGCAGGCUUCGCACCGGUACCAGCCCGCCGCAGACCCAAACAAACUCUUAUAUUCUAAAGCAUCUUCAUGGAGUGGUAUAAGCUAAAUAAGUUA